AAGUUCGUAGGGUUUGAAAUUAGUGGU
rnacentral:sRNA from 1 species